UAAAGAAGGCAUCAAAAAUACGUUAGCAAGACUAGAGCUCACAUUUUCCAAUAAACUGUUUCUUAUUCCAUUGAAGUUUGUUCAGAAUAAUAUAUAGUACAUAAUCCUGGAGAAGAGAACCCAUUAUGACUGGUUAUGCAGAGCUAAAAAAACAUGAAAAGAAGAAAACUCAAACCUUGUUUUUUGGUCUAGAUUAGUAAUAGAAAAAGAAACAAGGGGAAAAUAUUACCAGAAAGAUUUGCACUUUUCUGUCUUUACAUGUGUCCAGAGUGUUUAGUUGUAAUGACUGAUAUUUCUUCCUCCCAAGGAUGCAACAUCAUUAUCCUUCAUGUUUAAUAGAAAGACUUUUAUAUCAUAUGGAUUCUACCCUGAGGAAUACUGCAAGCAAAGGUUAUUGAAUCUAUAGGCACACUUGAGCUGAAUGGUAUUGAUUGACAACUCCCCCCCAUCCAGAAAAGCACAUUUUAUAUUAUACUCAAAUAAUUCUAGAGGAAGUACUUGGGAUCCAUAAAAUUCCAAAUGAAGAUAGAGAAUUGAAAUAAGAACAGCAUAGAAGAUUAGAUGGAAUGAGAAAAUGUUCCACAGAUUCUUUUCCAGCAAACUCCUCUGCCCUUUGAGAAGUCAAGAAAUACAAAAUUCAUUACAAAUAUGAAGUCAAGCAAAACAAAUCUGCACAAAAGCCGUGUUUUGAAAAUAAAGCAAUAGAAGCACGAAAAGAAAAAAUAUGA
rnacentral:lncRNA from 1 species